rnacentral:rRNA from 1 species
GCGGACGGGUGAGUAACGCGUGGGAACGUACCCUUCGGUGCGGAAUAGGCCCUGGAAACGGGGUUUAAUACCGCAUACGCCCUUUUGGGGAAAGAUUUAUCGCCGAAGGAUCGGCCCGCGUUGGAUUAGGUAGUUGGUGGGGUAACGGCCUACCAAGCCGACGAUCCAUAGCUGGUUUUAGAGGAUGAUCAGCCACACUGGGACUGAGACACGGCCCAGACUCCUACGGGAGGCAGCAGUGGGGAAUCUUAGACAAUGGGCGCAAGCCUGAUCUAGCCAUGCCGCGUGAGUGAUGAAGGUCUUAGGAUCGUAAAGCUCUUUCGCUGGGGAAGAUAAUGACGGUACCCAGUAAAGAAACCCCGGCUAACUCCGUGCCAGCAGCCGCGGUAAUACGGAGGGGGUUAGCGUUGUUCGGAAUUACUGGGCGUAAAGCGCGCGUAGGCGGACUGGAAAGUUGGGGGUGAAAUCCCGGGGCUCAACCUCGGAACUGCCUCCAAAACUAUCAGUCUAGAGUUCGAGAGAGGUGAGUGGAAUUCCGAGUGUAGAGGUGAAAUUCGUAGAUAUUCGGAGGAACACCAGUGGCGAAGGCGGCUCACUGG